CAACUCCGUCCUCCACACCUCUCCAUCUCUCACUCGGCGAGAGGGGCAAAGCAAGCCGCAAAGAUCUCCCCUCCUUUUCCCCCAGCCUCGUCACUGUGCCGCCCGUGCCCUCCCGUAGUCCCGUCCCUCCAAUAAUCCAUCCACCCCCACCCCGCUGCGGCGGCGUCUGUUCCUCCGGUGGCGGCGAUGUGCGGCGGCGCCAUCCUCUCCGGCUUCAUCCGCCCGUCCGGGGCGGCGGCCGCGGCGGCCAAGAAGCAGCAGCAGCAGCAGCAGCCGCGCCGGGUCACGGCCGACUUGCUGUGGCCGGGGCUCGGCAGCAGGAAGGGAGCGCUUGGGGAGCAGGACUUCGAGGCCGACUUCCGCGAGUUCGUCCGCGGCCUCGGCGAGGACGGCGGCGACGCGGACGCCGCCGGCGACGACGACGAUGAGGUCCAGGAGGUCCCCCCGCCGGAGCCGGCGAUGUUCACCUUCGCCGCCGCGGCCAAGGCGGCGCCCACCGCAGCUGGUGAGAACCGCAUUAAAGCCGCUACAUCCUUUUGUUUUGUUUUGUUCUGUGCUGGAACACACUCUGCUUAGACGGCCGGGCGAGAGAAAGAUGCCUCUUUUCGGGGUCUGUUUCACCAAUCUCCUCUGGUUGUUGUGGGAGGAGUGACUUGGGGUUCCAUGGAGCUGCAGCCAAACAGGGCUACCAGCUGCAACUGCAACACGGAAGUUUUUAUCUCUUGGCUACUCAUGCUGUGGCUAGACGAAAUUUUGUCAAAUAAUCUGCAUGGACAAUUUGUAGUAUAUGUCUGUAAUGAUAUAUGCUACAAAUGGAGAAAUUAUUUAGUGUAGAUCUUAAGGUAGUUGAUGUGGUUUGCUCUGUCGUGCAUCUCGAUUUCUAGACUCGGGUUUCAAACCAGAUAGAUUUCAGGCUUUUAUUUAUUUGUGAUUUUACAAUUUACAUAAGUGAUCUACUGUACAGUUAUGGUUACAACUUACAAGUAGUUGUCUUAUAAAGGUAUCUCGAGAUUAGGUUUAUUCCGAUUAGGGAUCUUGCAGCCACUUUCUAGACAGUAUUAUGUCUAGUUAAUUUUCAGUGAGGAAUAGGUUCUGGAAUCCAGAAUUCUUCCGUGUUAAUUGUUAUCUCAUUAUUGAUGUUUAGAUGCAGGUUCAGCCCCUUUUUCUGUCAACUUUUUUUUUGAAAAAAAUUACUGGGUUACAGUAUUUGAUGUCUUUUUUUUUGUUAAGUCAAGAGAGAAGGAUUGAAAUGAUUCAAAUUUACAUGAACUUUAUUCUGAAGUGUAAGUUGAUGUCUUUGAAGAUCUCGAUGGAUCUUCAAAGGUGACUGAUUGUAAUAGUUUUACAAAAUUACUAUCUGUUGCUUUUUGUCGUGCAACAAAUUUUCUUUAUUGAUAGCAUAUGUUUGUGGGCUUUUUGUGUACUAGGGAUUGCCUCUACUCUUAAGAUUUUUAGGAAAGGAUAUUAGUGCUAGUUCAUCCUCUUUGUUACCAGUUAGUACUAUUCUCUAGUCCAGCUAUCCAGACAAACAAAUUAGCUUACAAGCCUAGUACUAUGGUGUUGAUUACGAACUGUUCAUGCUAGAUGUGAAAGGUGUCAAAUUAUUGGGAUCGCUUUUCUUAGUUGCUGGGGCGAUUCAAUCACAAAUUCACAAUAUCACUUGCUAGAUUAUCUUGAUGUUUGAUAAACUGCUGGCUCGUGGCAUGCAACUUUUCUUUCAAACUUUUAGGUCUAUAGAUUCCUAGGGUCUGUAGCUAUUGUAAUUCUUCUGUAUUUGCUAUUAUCUGUCAUACAAGUAUUAUUUCUGUUCUUACAAAACUUGCAUGCCUAUUCCGUAUGUUUUAUUUAGAUGAACUGAUAUGCGAUCUUUAAUAUAGAUGAUGUGAUGACUCCAAAGCCUGUUCAACAUGAUGAACCUACUGCUACCUCAGCAAAGCGCAACCGGAAGAAUCAGUACAGGGGGAUCCGCCAGCGUCCAUGGGGCAAAUGGGCAGCUGAAAUCCGUGACCCUAGCAAGGGUGUCCGUGUUUGGCUUGGAACUUACAACACGGCUGAGGAGGCAGCUAGGGCAUAUGAUGCUGAAGCUCGCAAGAUCCGUGGCAAGAAAGCGAAGGUCAAUUUUCCUGAUGAAGAGCAAGAUGCUCAGAAGUCAAUCCUAAAGCCAACUACUGCCAAUCCAACAAAGCUUGCUCCACCUACAGAGACCUGUGCUGAUGAGGCUUUCAAUAAUCUGAACAAUGGAGACAAUGAUUUGUUUGCAAUGUUUGCCUUCAGUGACAGUAAGGCUCCUGUGAAGCCAGCUGAGAUUGCCAGUUUCCUCCCUGCAGUUAGACCUCAUGUGCCCACUAAGAGAUCUGCAUCAAACAUGCUCUCUGACCAGAGCAGUAACUCAUAUGGCUCUUCUGACUUUGGGUGGGACGAUGAGACCAUGACCUCAGAUUACACUUCAGUCUUUGCUCCCAAUAAUGCUGUGCCAGCAUAUGCCGAUCCUGCGUGCCUGCAAGGUGAAGUGUCAAAGAGAAUGAGGAACACCUAUGGUUUAGCUGUGCCUCAGGGAAAUGGCGCACCCAAUCUCGCACAAGACAUGUCCGGUUUUAAUCCUGAGAUGAACUAUUUGCCAUUGUCUUAUGUUGAGAGCAGCCCGGACACAUCAAUGGACAGCCUUCUGCAAAAUGAUGCUCCACAGGACGGGGCUAGCACUGGGGAUCUCUGGAGCCUCGAUGAGAUGCUCAUGGCAGCUGGUGCUUAUUGAGAGGCCAUGGUUAUUGCCAAAAUGUAAGGCAUCCUUACUGCCUACUUUUGGUUUUCCUACAUACUUCUUGUACAAUGGACUAUCUCAGUUCUCAGCUGCAUUUUUGUUUCCAUGUCAGGUUCCUUGCCUGUGGUGAUGCUGAAGAGGCAGUUAUCUCCGCUACGUUUCGUCGCGGAUCGU
rnacentral:lncRNA from 1 species